CUUUUCUUUUUUUCUUAAAGAUCUUUAUAAGCAGAGAAAAACUGCCAGAAAACAGUGAAAGGAGCACAAAAUCAGAAUAGGGUUGGGGGGACUGCAAAAGCCAAUGGUGGUGCUAGCAAGAAGCAAUUAGUUUUAGUUUAAGGGAACAAGGCAAGUGGACACAGCUCAGAUGGGGUGCUCCACUCAUUAGCUCUUUUUUUUUUUUCCUUUUCUCAUGAAACGUUAUAUUCACAAUUUUCAGCAGGAAACACCCAACUCGCCCAAGCUGUGUUUCCUGUGUUUUCUAAACGGUAUAAUACGUUAUUACAAAAGAAACAAUCCAAACAGCCCUGUGGAGGGGUGAGAAGUAAAGAAUAGUUUUAUACUUAACCAGACACCAGAUUAUGAGGUCAAGUCAUACAGCAUCGUGAGAGAUACAAGGAAAAACUGAAAGUGAACGCUUUCUGCCUGAACUUCUCGAUCCAAAAAACAACCUUUGAGAAGAGGAUGAACCAGAAUGUGUAAAACUAAGUAAUUCCGGGAGGAAACCCUAAGAUGACCUGAGAUAUUCAGUCCAAGAGGGUGGGUGACACCAUUUCAAAGCCAGUCUAAGAAAGGGUGGUUGAGAUGCCUCUGGCAAACCCUUUCAACUUCUGAAGGUCCCAGCGCCAAGCGACAAGGGCCCUGGGCAGAGCCAAGGGAGAGCUUGACACAGACGGCCGCGGUCACAGGGCUGGAGAGUUAGGCCCCGGGUCGUGUGGUCUGGCGGAUUCUAUCCAUUUCCGCCCAGGACGGUAAGAAACCCCAGAGACCGAGCCGUGGCGGAGCAGUUGGUCCCCGGUGCAGGAAUUCGCUGUCCUCCCAGCACAGUGCACGGCUGGGAACCCGAUCAGCCCGCGUGUCAGCUUGGGGCGGAGCCAAGCCUGGUCACCACCGGAAGUGCGUCACUAGAGCGGGCCGGGAGCGCAGGCCGAACCCGGAAGCAGGCCUGGCGUAGGCUGGAGCUUGGGGGAGGCGCCGGGUCUCUGAGAUUUAGUGACCGAACUGCCCGCGCGGAGAGGACUGGCGGCGGAGAACUGCAGCAAGAGCAGGAAACCCACGGGACCGCGGACGUGCGCGAGGCUCGAGGCCGUGCUGCACCGAGGGGCUCGACUCGUGGCGCCGAGCGGUCACUUCCGGCCUGCGGGGGGUACUUUUUAAAGGGAUAGCGGGUAUUUCCGAAGCCACGGGGGCAUCGCCACGCCGCGGUGUCGCCGCUGGGGCCGGGGCUUCUGUGGGUUCUAAUGAUUCUGCCGUACGUGCUUUGCCCUAAUUGUCAACUGUUUUGUCAAGUCCGCGUUGGCUCCAAGAGAGACCUUCCCUGACGUUUUCAGUGCCCGCGGAGUGGACAGCCCCGGCGGAGCAUCUGACCGCCCGCUCCCCGGCUCCCGCUGCAGCUGUCAUUCACGUCGAUGAUGCUGUUUUCCUUAGAGAUCCGAGUGUACAAAUGGACUGAUGCUGCAAAGUCCGUGGGUGGGGUUGGGGUGGGGAGAGUACUUCUGCCUGCCAGGUCUUCAGAGAUGGGUUUACACUUCGAUGAGUAGCGCUGACAAGCCACGUCUUGCAAGGGCGGUUGCAUUCGACCGAAUAGCACAGGUUCCCUUCACCGAUAUGAGCUCGGGUAGCAUUCAUCAUCUGGAGGGGGAUCUUUCCUUAUCUACUUCUCCUUUCUACUGUUUGAAGUGUAAAUUCGUCUUAGGUUAUUGAGUUUUCAGUACUUUGAUUGUAUCCAAAUGGAAGCAUUCAAGUGUGAUAUUGUCUGGCAGUAAAUUUACUUUAAAAAAAAAAAAGCUUACCCUGUGGACUAUCACAUGAGUUAAAUAUCCAAGAUAAAAGAGUGAACAGAGAGUUGCAGGAGGACUAAGAAACACGAGUAAACAUGAGUAACUGUGAUAACGGUUAUAAUUUGCUUUAAAGAUCAUUUACAUUUUCUUUUUAAAUUUCCUGUGUAUGAGUUCUUUGCCUGGAUGUGUGUCUAUUCACGAUGUGCUAGAGCAACCAGAGCUCUUAACCACUGAGCCAUUUCUCCAACCCCCAAAGAGUAUAUAUUUGCCUUUUGAGAGAGAACAGUUUUUAGUCGUUUUUGUCAUUUCCAUGGACGUGGGAAAUUAAAAUUCCAAAUUUAUUUCUUGGCUAUUUUACUAGGAAAUCUAACUUAAUAAAACGGUUGUUCUGUUGAACCUAUAGGUCAUACAUUGGGAUAAGAUAGUUCCAAAAGUGCAGUUACCACCUCGAUGUACCUUAAUGUUAGUCAUUAAAAUUCUCUGAGUGGUGUGGAAAAGUAAAUCGUACACAUCAAAGAAGGGGCUCUUGGGAUCUAGGAGGGGUGGGACAAGGCUUAAACAGACACCUUUCAGUCUCAGGCUUAGUCUGGAGGACAUGAAGUUCUUGUCUGUAGUUUUAUAGGUUAAGAUUAUUUUCAUUGUUGUGGGAAAGAAUAGUGUUAUUGUUUUUAGUUUUGUUUUUCAAAAAAGAAAAAUGAGUCACCAUAUAGUUUGUGGGACUUACUUGGAGAGAGAGAUCAAAAUGUCGCUUGCACUUGACAGUCGGUAUGGAGUAAAAGGCUUUGAAACCCAUGGAAGUCUGGGCACAUGCGCUCCUCUCAUUGAGGGCAGUAGUGUCCAUGUGCAGUCUUUUGCAAUAUCAUAUGUUAUAAGAAAUUGUUUUAAAAUAGAUGCUCAAUAAAUGCAUAUGUUCUAAAGUAAUAAAGCAUAAUAAAAAAAAGCAAA
rnacentral:lncRNA from 1 species